rnacentral:rRNA from 1 species
AGAGUUUGAUCAUGGCUCAGAACGAACGCUGGCGGCAUGCCUAACACAUGCAAGUCGAACGAACUCUUCGGAGUUAGUGGCGCACGGGUGCGUAACGCGUGGGAAUCUGCCCUUGGGUACGGAAUAACUCAGAGAAAUUUGUGCUAAUACCGUAUAAUGUCUUCGGACCAAAGAUUUAUCGCCCAAGGAUGAGCCCGCGUAAGAUUAGCUAGUUGGUGGGGUAAAAGCCUACCAAGGCGACGAUCUUUAGCUGGUCUGAGAGGAUGAUCAGCCACACUGGGACUGAGACACGGCCCAGACUCCUACGGGAGGCAGCAGUGGGGAAUAUUGGACAAUGGGCGAAAGCCUGAUCCAGCAAUGCCGCGUGAGUGAUGAAGGCCUUAGGGUUGUAAAGCUCUUUUACCCGGGAUGAUAAUGACAGUACCGGGAGAAUAAGCUCCGGCUAACUCCGUGCCAGCAGCCGCGGUAAUACGGAGGGAGCUAGCGUUGUUCGGAAUUACUGGGCGUAAAGCGCGCGUAGGCGGUUUUUUAAGUCAGAGGUGAAAGCCCAGUGCUCAACACUGGAACUGCCUUUGAAACUGGAAAACUUGAAUCUUGGAGAGGUCAGUGGAAUUCCGAGUGUAGAGGUGAAAUUCGUAGAUAUUCGGAAGAACACCAGUGGCGAAGGCGACUGACUGGACAAGUAUUGACGCUGAGGUGCGAAAGCGUGGGGAGCAAACGGGAUUAGAUACCCUGGUAGUCCAA